ACCCCUACGGGGGGCAGCAGUGAGGAAUAUUGGACAAUGGGGGCAACCCUGAUCCAGCCAUGCCGCGUGGAGGAAGACGGCCUUUGGGUUGUAAACUCCUUUUAUAUGAGACUAAUAAGGUGGUAUACUCACCGAUGCAGGUACCAUAUGAAUAAGCACCGGCUAACUACGUGCCAGCAGCCGCGGUAA
rnacentral:rRNA from 1 species